rnacentral:rRNA from 1 species
CCAAUAGCGUAUAUUAAAGUUGUUGCAGUUAAAAAGCUCGUAGUUGAACUUCGGGAUUUACCCCUUGGUCAGGCUUAAUUGUCUGUACUGGUGAGCUGAAUCUCUACCUUCUGAGGAACUUUCAUGCCAUUUAUUUGGUGUGAUGGGAAAUCAGGACUGUUACUUUGAAAAAAUUAGAGUGUUUAAAGCAGGCUAACGUCUGAAUACAUUAGCAUGGAAUAAUGAAAUAGGACGGACUGAUUCUAUUUCGUUGGUUUCUAGGAUCACCGUAAUGAUUAAUAGGGAUAGUUGGGGGCAUUAGUAUUCAAUUGUCAGAGGUGAAAUUCUUGGAUUUAUUGAAGACUAACUACUGCGAAAGCAUUUGCCAAGGAUGUUUUCAUUAAUCAAGAACGAAAGUUAGGGGAUCGGAGACGAUCAGAUACCGUCGUAGUCUUAACCAUAAACUAUGCCGACUAGGGAUCGGACGAAGUUAAUUUUAUAAUGACGCGUUCGGCACCUUACG